AGGGGAGGUGACACUGCAGGACAAGGAGAGGGGAGGUGGCACGGCAGGACAAGGUGAGGGGAGGUGGCACGGUAGGACAAGGAGAGGGGAGGUGGCACGGUAGGACAAGGACAGGGGAGGUGGCACGGCAGGACAAGGUGAGGGGAGGUGGCACGGCAGGACAAGGUGAGGGGAGGUGGCACGGCAGGACAAGGAGAGGGGAGGUGGCACGGCAGGACAAGGAGAGGGGAGGUGGCACAGCAGGACAAGGUGAGAGGAGGUGACACGGUAGGACAAGGACAGGGGAGGUGGCACGGUAGGACAAGGAGAGGGGAGGUGGCACGGUAGGACAAGGACAGGGGAGGUGGCACGGCAGGACAAGGUGACACUGGGAGCAGGGACAGCAGGGACGGAGGGCUGUGCCCUGGUUAUCACAGUGCAGCCAGGCUUUGCAGACAGCCCACGGGGGAAAGGGCAGCAGUGACUGCUGUGUGCAGCUCAGGGCUCUGGGGAAGUGCCCAGGGGUGAAAUCAAACUUCUGCCAUUAUCCAUCAGCUCCGAGGGCAAUGCCCCAAGCACAGACUGAGCUCAGGCUGUCUCACCUGGAGCCAAGACGGCACAGGGGCAGCAGGGCCCUGAGCAGAGCAGGUGAGGGCUGCCAGUCCCCAGCUGGCACUGCUCCCAGCCCUGGGCUCCACCGGGCCGUGCUGCGGGCAGGACAGCGCCCCGGAGCAGAAACCAGCCCUGCACCAGCCUGGCACCAGCUCUCAGAGGUCAUGCAAUGCUGCUCUGCUUCCUCAAGAGAAAAAAACAACUGCCCAAGGAAUCCCUAGCUCUCAGGGGUUUGCUUCACCUGCACAGACUCCCAAAGGGGAACAAAAACUGUCCUUGUUGAUCAUAUGACUGAAGAUUUUUCUCCAACCCAGGAGAGAGACAUGUGGGGAGGUCAAGGCAGUUAAAAAGAGAGGAGAAAAAAGGGUUUUUCUUUUCUGUCAACUGGGCAAAGGCAGAAUAUCCAGCAGAAGCAGCGCUGCUUUGGGUGGUGUCAGCCAGAGGCUUCCGUGACCAGUCCAUCCCUGGGAUAACCUGGGGCGUGGAGAACAGCCUGGGCAGCUGUGUGCUGACAGGGGCAGGCUCCUGACACCUUUGCUUAAGUGUAGAAUAAACUCUCUAUAUAUUAUUUAACUAAUAAAAUAUAAUCAAGUGUAUGGCUCUGGCUUAAACAGGUGUUUGCUCUGCAUGCUCAACACAGGGAAUUAGAAAAUAGAAGGAAAAGAGCUCAAUUCUGUUACAAAAAGAUAGCAGCAAAAAGGUUUGUGAAAGUGUUCAACAGGCUGGGCAGGAAACAGUCCAAACUGCAAAAAUUUCCCUUUUUCACACCUAUCCAUUCAAGGCAGAGAAUCCUUCACCACUGCAGCACCCAUGAACCCCAGCUCGGGGUUCAUUUCCUUCCUCCUGCAGCCUCUGAAAUGGGGCCCUGAUGUCAGCACAGUGCAGGGAGUGAAGAGCACCAGCCCUGGCUGUGCAGGUGCCCACAGCAGGUCACCCAGAGCUGAUGUGACCGUGCCAGUGCCCUGGGGGGAACACGUCCUGCCUGCUGCCAGCACCGUGCCUGAUACAAGGAGCGAGCAGAGAGCCCAGGUGCCCAGUGCUCAUAAAGUGCAGGAAUGCAGAGCUGUCAGCUCCCUUCCCCUGAGGCUGGCACAGCCAGGGACAGGGAGAUGCUGUGCUGUGCUUCACCCACGAACCAGAGAGCUCCUAGUGCCACGUCCCCUUCCCCA